rnacentral:lncRNA from 1 species
AUGGGAUGGAAUGGAAUGGAAUGGAAUGGAAUGGAAUGGAAUGGAAUGGAAUGGAAUGGAAUGGAAUGGAAUACUUCCCUGGAAGGGAUGUCCAACAGUCUCCUGCCCCAGCUGCAGGAUUUAAACACCAGCACUGCCAUCAGAGCUCCCCCCCAGCCUCUUCUCCCUUGCAAUGAAGGAGACACAUCACAUGGAAUCCUGGAAUUGUUCAGGCUGGAAAAGGCCUCUGGGAUUCCCAAACCCAACCAUUCCAAGGGCACCACCGGCCCACAUCCCACAUCCACAGGGCUGUUAAAUCCUGCCAGGGAUGGGGACUCACCACUGCCCUGGGCAGCUGGGCCAAUGCCUGACCACCUUUUCCAUGAGAAUGUUCCCAGGAUCCAACCUAAACCUCGCCUGGCACAGCUUCAGUGCCCUCCUCCCACCCUGUUCCUGAUCCCUGGGAGCAGAGGCCGAUUCCCACCGGCCCCAGCCCCACAGGAACCCUCAGAGCUGUGUGCAGACCUGGGCCAGGGGUUUGAGAUGGCUUCAGAGGUUCCCAACCUCACCGUGAAGCUGGUUGUCACAGAAGGACUGGGCUCAGAGAGAGGGGACAUCCCUGGGGACAUCCCUGGGGACAUCCCUGGGACAUCCCUGGGGACAUCCCUGGGACAUCCCUGGGACAUCCCUGGGGACAGUCCUGGGGACAUCCCUGGGGACAUCCCUAUGGACAUCCCUGGGACAUCCCUGGGGCAUCCCUGGGGCAUCCCUGGGACAUCCCUGGGGACAUCCCUGGGGACAUCCCUAUGGACAUCCCUGGGGCAUCCCUGGGGCAUCCCUGGGGCAUCCCUGGGACAUCCCUGGGACAUCCCUGGGGACAUCCCUAUGGACAUCCCUGGGGACAGUCCUGGGGACAUCCCUGGGGACAUCCCUGGGGACAGUCCUGGGGACAUCCCUGGGGACAGUCCUGCUCCAGGCUGGCUGGAAGCAGGCAGGAUGAGCCCUGGGCAGGCUGUGGUCCCGUGUGGAUCAGCCAUGGAAAUGUGGCAGCCAAAGCUGGGAGGGAACAGCCAAGAGCUGGUUUUGGUGGUUUUUGGUACUGUGCUGCCAACAUGUUAA